UGAGGAAUAUUGGUCAAUGGACGCAAGUCUGAACCAGCCAAGUAGCGUGCAGGAUGACGGCCCUAUGGGUUGUAAACUGCUUUUAUAUGGGGAUAAAGUGGGGAACGUGUUCCCUUUUGCAGGUACCAUAUGAAUAAGGACCGGCUAAUUCCGUGCCAGCAGCCGCGGUAAUACGGAAGGUUCGGGCGUUAUCCGGAUGUAUUGGGUUUAAAGGGAGCGUAGGCCGUUUGGUAAGCGUGUUGUGAAAUGUAGGAGCUCAACUUCUAGAUUGCAGCGCGAACUGUCAGACUUGAGUGCGCACAACGUAGGCGGAAUUCAUGGUGUAGCGGUGAAAUGCUUAGAUAUCAUGAAGAACUCCGAUUGCGAAGGCAGCUUACGGGAGCGCAACUGACGCUGAAGCUCGAAGGUGCGGGUAUCGAACAGG
rnacentral:rRNA from 1 species